GGAAAACUCACCAGGUCCAGACAUAGGAAGGAUUGACAGAUUGAGAGCUCUUUCUUGAUUCUAUGGGUGGUGGUGCAUGGCCGUUCUUAGUUGGUGGAGUGAUUUGUGGCUUAAUUUGACUCAACGCGGGAAAUCUCACCAGGCCCGGACACUGGAAGGAUUGACAGAUUGAUAGCUCUUUCUUGUUAGCAAUAA
rnacentral:rRNA from 1 species